UUUUUUUGUUUUCAUCUUCCCCGCUGCUAAUUGUCGGGCUUCUCUUUCGGGAUUGGCUGCGCUUCCCAUCCAUAAUAUAAUUAAACCCAACGAGGAAGCAGCCCCCCUCCCAGUCCGGCGCUUGCUGAAGCUAAUGCGGAUAUUUAAGAAGAUUUAACUUCGCCAGAUGUAAGACUUAGUGUAUUUGCAAAUUGCAAUAAGUUCAUUGGAAGUUCUGUUUUAUCUGACUGUUGGCCAAAGGGAAUGAUGUUGACACUUUAUCAGGUUGUGAAGCUUGCUGCAAACUAAAGAAUAAACAGUACAAAUCUGCCUGCAUACAAGCACAGCUAAAGCUUGUUGAGUGUUGUUCGCAUUCUCCCUGCCUGAAACCAGUUUUCCCAUCAACUGGGGUCAUCUGUCCUUGUGGAGAUCUGCCAACUUUACUACUAGUGAGGAUCCAAGGAGAAAAGGAUAUGCCCUGUAGAAGCCCAAGACCUCCUAAGAAUGGCAGCCUCCAUCUAUGUUUCCAGGAGACUAUCUUUCUCUGAGUUGGACUUCUCCUGGACCAAAGUCCUCCAUGACAGAUAGAGCUAACACAAGCUAGUCCCUGAUGUGUGCCUUCAAGUUGUCUCAUGGCAACCCUAAAGGAUGUCUUAUCCUUCUUCUGAGGAUGAGAGAAUGGGACUUGAACCCGCUGUGCUUCCACAGCAAAGCAGAGAUGCAAAGCCUGGUCUGCUGAGUCCUAGUCCCAGGCUCAAGCCACUAAUGCAGGCCGGACCCUCCUCACAAGGUGUCUUCAGGUCACAAGUCAAUUCUAGGGGCUCCAGAUAUUCUGACUUCUUAGUCUCUCUUUGUUUUGCCUAAAGGGGAAAAAGGAGUCAAAGAUGGAAAAGCAGGAUGGGGAUGCUGAGACACCUUUUUAUUCAGGCAGGUUUUUAAAUAAGAAAGUUUGAAAGAAUGACAUUCUUUUAACAGAUUUUAAAUAUUUUAAGUUAUUUUCA